UACCCAGAGAUCAUCUUGUGUAACAAGUCUGAACCGGAAGUGAUCCACGCCAUCGUCGUAGACAAGCGCAGCACAAAGCAUAGAUGAACCAUGACUUCGACACCAACAAAAAUAAAGUAGAUUAACACAACUGACCAAUGUGGAAGAGAAAUAUAUAUCAACAAAACCGCUGCUGUGGGAAACGACCUCUAUGAGACAGUUACAUGUCAGAAGAUGUGGGCAAGCAAGCUGCCUCCGACCUCCCUACACGAACUUCGCGGCCUGAAAUCCAUGCAAACAGCUUUGUAAAGGUCGUACGAACUCCUUUCCCUACAAGAUUGUGGUGACUGGCAGAAUAAAGAUGCCCCCCUUUACUCUUGCCCCCCUCAAAACUACCACUACCUUCAGAAGUCAUCGAGUAACCAAAAGAAAGGAGCCUUUUAUGCAGCACCAUCAGAAGAGGCUGAUUAUGGCAGCACACCGGUGUCGUCUUGGUCUCCUGGGAGCCUCUGUGUGUUGCGGUGCCAUAGACGCUUAUGUGUGGCCAUGUCUGCUGGAGACAUGAAAACCCCUGUUCUGCAAACCCCAAGAGCACGUGAACAUGACCCAAUAUCAAAUAGCAUCUUGUUGUUGCUAUGAAGGGCUUUGGGACACCCGGGGGAAUCCAAGUAGAGAACGGAUGACACGGAGAGGUCAAGAGAGGCUAAAGAAAUGGGUGAGCCCACCAAGGGGCCCCCAAGCAAGUCAUGCAGAAAAGGUCCCCCAGGCAGGGUUUACACUGCGACACACUUGGAGCUGCUCGCCGCCUCCUUUUCUUCUCAGGAAACAACGGGGACCCCCGGCUACAGUGAGGCACAGACCCAUGCAGCAAUACAAACUGGACCGUAGUUUUUCCAAUACAAACACACACUCAUCAAGCAGCUCUCUCCCUUUCUUCCCACUCCCUCCCUCAAGGCGCGCUCUCCCUCCUCGGCCCCCGUUCAUUCAGACAUAAUCAACACAGUUGUGCUUCAGUGCACAGAUUACGAUAAUGAGCUAUGGCAAGGCGGUAGGCAAGAGGGGAAGCACAGUGAGAGAGGGAGAGGGACGGUGGAGUGACAAAACGAAAAGAGCCGAGUAGUAGAAGCAAUUAGUGCUUCUUACAAGUAGCAGUGCUCUGAGUUAAUGUGCAAAGUUAAAUAAAUCAUAUGUUGUUUAAAUGAUUCGUCUCCCUCUCUGUUAGUCACCCUUUGAAAACUGAUGCUUUCAAAGAUGGUGUCGUCUUCCCCAAUAAGUGUAAGGUAAUUGUUGAUAAUAUGCCAUCAUGCCACAACUUGUAUGUUGCCACUCUGCCAAAAUGUCUAACCAGACGCAGAGGAUUGUGGGUACAGAUGAGUUUAGAGGCUUGAAAACAUGAGACAGCCUGACUGGCCUCUUAGUUUGGUAAACACACGUGCCUGCACUCUGUCUUUGAAUCCAAUGCAAAAAAAAUGAACGUCAAAGAUCAAAAACUAAGACAAAACCCUGUUCAUUUUAACUAACAUAGCUACUGAAGGUUAAUUAUGUAAUCAGUGAUACAAUGAUAAGUUCAGAUUUUAAUACUGAUGCAUUCAGCCUUUUUGAACCUUUUUUAAACUAAAAACAUCCAACAAACACGUUAAGGAUAAAAUCUACUUCAAGAACAA